rnacentral:rRNA from 1 species
CCUACGGGUGGCAGCAGUGAGGAAUAUUGGUCAAUGGGCGCGAGUCUGAACCAGCCAAGUAGCGUGAAGGAUGACUGCCCUACGGGUUGUAAACUUCUUUUAUAAAGGAAUAAAGUGAGGCACGUGUGCCUUUCUGUAUGUACUUUAUGAAUAAGGAUCGGCUAACUCCGUGCCAGCAGCCGCGGUAAUACGGAGGAUCCGAGCGUUAUCCGGAUUUAUUGGGUUUAAAGGGAGCGUAGAUGGGUUGUUAAGUCAGUUGUGAAAGUUUGCGGCUCAACCGUAAAAUUGCAAUUGAUACUGGCAGGCUUGAGUACAGUUGAGGUAGGCGGAAUGCGUGGUGUAGCGGUGAAAUGCUUAGAUAUCACGAAGAACUCCGAUUGCGAAGGCAGCUUACUAAACUGCCACUGACAUUGAUGCUCGAAAGUGUGGGUAUCAAACAGGAUUAGAUACCCUUGUAGUC